AUGGCCAGAGCAGCGGGCGAGAGGCCGCGGAAGGUCCCGGGUGGGCUGGAGGGCUGGGGAUGCUGGGGGCUUCGGGGCACUGGACAGGGCGGGCGGAAGGCCGAGCGAGCGCCAGCGGAGCGGCCUCUGCCUCCGUGUCCUUGUCUGGGGCGUGGAGACCAGAGCAGGGCCUGGGGUCAUGAGCUCGGGUCACCGCCUCCCGAGUGCCAAGAAGGGGGGGGAGCGCUGCCGGGAGCACGGCCUGUGGAGCCAGAGGCUGGAGGGGGGAGGGCGCGGGAGGGCGCGGGAGGCCGGGGCUGCGCCGGGGCUGCGGGCUGCCCUCCUCCCGCCGGGCCAUCCCCCAGAGGGCAGUGCAGGAUCACCUCUCGGCCACACGCAGUCUCCCCGCAGCCGGGAAGCGGCUCUCUCUGGAAUCCUUGCAAACGGGCCAACCUGCCAGGGUCGGAUGUUCCUCCCUCCUCGGCCAUGGGCCCGGGCGUGUCCUCCGGGCUCUGUGCGCUAUGUCACGGCGCCUUCCCCAGGGCGCCCGGCGCAGUGACUGUGGCCCCCCCACUUCAUGCAGAAGGAAGCCAAAGCCAGAGAGGUCAGGGCCCGCCCUGCCGAGGACCGUGUGUCGGGGCUGCAGGGCGCCGGUGGUGGGUCAUCACGGGAAGGGUCCCCGACCCCAUGUAUGGCCACCUGGUAACUUCUCUGGGUCCACAGAGCGGGGACCGGUCUGGCUGCACAGGCCUGGCACCCACUGCACACUCAGCGCUGCUCACCAUGGUCGGGAUUCAGACCCAGGGCUGUCGGUGUUUCCAGGAGGAAAGGCCGGAAGAGGGGAGAGCCCCCCGACCCGGGGCACCUGCACAGCACACCGGCUGUCUCGUCUCCCUGCAUCCCAGCUCUCGGACCUGCCCCCUUGCCCUGAGGCUGCAGCCCCCACAAGUGGGCGGGUGGCCCGGCAGCUGUGGGUCACCCCCUCCACCACACAACUCCCCACUGGGCCCACACCCUGCACCCUGCACCCCGCAGGGAGGCCCAGCGCACCAGCCUGGUGGGGAGGGCAGGCAGAGGUAG
rnacentral:lncRNA from 1 species